GUUAGUAACAGGUGGAUAACGUGCCCUUCAGCGGGGGAUAGCCUCUGGAAACAGGGAUUAAUACCGCGUACGCCCUCCCCAUCACAAGACGGGGAGGGGAAAGACCUCGGUCACUGAAGGAUCGGUCCGUCCCUGAUUAGCUUGUUGGUGAGGUAACGGCUCACCAAGGCGACGAUCAGUAGCUGGUCUGAGAGGAUGGUCAGCAACACUGGGACUGAGAUACGGCCCAGACUCCCACGGGAGGCAGCAGUCUAGAAGCUUCCACAAUGGACGCAAGUCUGACCCAGCCAUGCCGCGUGCAGGAUGACGGCCUUAUGGGUUGUAAACUGCUUUUGUAUGGGAUUAAAGUGUUGUACGUGUACGACAUUGCAAGUACCAUACGAAUAAGCAUCGGCUAACUCCGUGCCAGCAGCCGCGGUAAUACGGAGGAUGCAAGCGUUAUCCGGAAUCAUUGGGUUUAAAGGGUGCGUAGGUUGAUUAUUAAGUCAGUGGUGAAAAUUCCGGGCUCAACCCGGGACUUGCCGUUGAAACUGAUAAUCUUGAGUGUAACUGAUGUGGGCGGAAUGUGUCAAGUAGCGGUGAAAUGCAUAGAUAUGACACAGAACACCGAUAGCGAAGGCAGCUCACAAAAUUACAACUGACACUGAGGCACGAAAGCGUGGGUAUCAAACAGGAUUAGAUACCCUGGUAGUCCACGCUGUAAACGAUGAUCACUAGCUGUUUGCGAUACAUUGUAAGUGGUUAAGCGAAAGCGAUAAGUGAUCCACCUGGGGAGUACGUCGGCAACGAUGUAACUCAAAGGAAUUGUCGGGGGCCCGCACAAGCGGAGGAGCAUGUGGUUUAUUUUGAUGAUACGCGAGGAACCUUACCUGGGCUUGUAUGUAAGGUGCAUGAGUGUGAAAGCACUCUUUCCUUCACAGGACUUCAUACGAGGUGAUGCAUGGUCGUCGUCAGCUCGUGCCGUGAGGUGUUAGGUUAAGUCCUGCAACGAGCGCAACCCCUGUUUUUAGUUGCCAGCAUGGUUAUGCUGGGCACUCUAGAAAGACUGCCUGCGCAAGCAGAGUGGAAGGUGGGGAUGACGUCAAAUCAGCACGGCCCUUACGUCCAGGGCUACACACCUGCUACAAUGGUCGGCACAGAGGGUGGCUACCCGGCAACGGGAUGCUAAUCUCCAAAGUCGAUCUUAG
rnacentral:rRNA from 1 species